rnacentral:rRNA from 1 species
CCCCCGGGACAUGGGGAUAAUUCCGGAUAACGCAUAUUUGCUGGAAUGCUUUAUGCGUCAAAAGGAUUCGUCUGCCCAAGGAUGGGUCUGCGGCCUAUCAGGUAGUAGUGGGUGUAAUGUACCUACUAGCCAGCGACGGGUACGGGUUGUGAGAGCAAGAGCCCGGAGAUGGAUUCUGAGACAUGAAUCCAGGCCCUACGGGGCGCAGCAGGCGCGAAAACUUUACAAUGCGGGAAACCGUGAUAAGGGGACACCGAGUGCCAGCAUCAUAUGCUGGCUGUCCGGAUGUGUAAAAUACAUCCGUUAGCAAGGGCCGGGCAAGACCGGUGCCAGCCGCCGCGGUAACACCGGCGGCCCGAGUGGUGAUCGUGAUUAUUGGGUCUAAAGGGUCCGUAGCCGGUUUGGUCAGUCCUCCGGGAAAUCUGAUAGCUCAACUAUUAGGCUUUCGGGGGAUACUGCCAGACUUGGAACCGGGAGAGGUAAGAAGUACUACAGGGGUAGGAGUGAAAUCUUGUAAUCCCUGUGGGACCACCUGUGG